GCUCAUGUGGCCUAGUGGUUAGAGAAUCCGCUUCGGAUGCGGGAGGACGAGGGUUCGAACGUUUUCUUACUUUACUAUUCCCUUGCCUGUACA